rnacentral:rRNA from 1 species
UACGUAGGGGGCGAGCGUUGUCCGGAUUUAUUGGGCGUAAAGAGCGUGUAGGCGGCCAGGUAGGUCUGCUGUGAAAACUCGGAGGCUCAACCUCGAGACGUCGGCGGAAACCAUCUGGCUAGAGUCCGGAAGAGGAGGGUGGAAUUCCUGGUGUAGCGGUGAAAUGCGCAGAUAUCAGGAAGAACACCCGUGGCGAAGGCGGCUCUCUGGGACGGUACUGACGCUGAGACGCGAAAGCGUGGGGAGCGAACAGG